GACGAACGCUGGCGGCGUGCUUAACACAUGCAAGUCGAACGGAAAGGCCCUGCUUUUGUGUGGUGCUCGAGUGGCGAACGGGUGAGUAACACGUGAGUAACCUGCCCUUGACUUUGGGAUAACUGCAGGAAACUGGGGCUAAUACCGGAUAGGAGCUCCUGCUGCAUGGUGGGGGUUGGAAAGUUUCGGCGGUGGGGGGUGGACGCGCGGCUUAUCAGCUGGUUGGGGGGGUAGUGGCUUACCAGGGCUUUGACGGGUAGCCGGCAUGGGAGGGUGACCGGCCACAUUGGGACUGAGAUACGGACCAGACGCCUACGGGAGGCAGCAGUGGGGAAUAUUGCACAAUGGGCGGAAGCCUGAUGCAGCAACGCCGCGUGCGGGAUGACGGCCUUCGGGUUGUAAACCGCUUUCGCCUGUGACGAAGCGUGAGUGACGGUAAUGGGUAAAGAAGCACCGGCUAACUACGUG
rnacentral:rRNA from 1 species